rnacentral:rRNA from 1 species
CAGCCCUAAACGAUGCGCGUUAGGUGUAUCGGUGACCACGAGUCACCGAGGUGCCGAAGGGAAACCGUGAAACGUGCCGCCUGGGAAGUACGGUCGCAAGGCUGAAACUUAAAGGAAUUGGGCGGGGGAGCACAACAACGGGUGGAGCUUGCGGUUUAAUUUGGAUUCAACGCCGGAAAUCUUACCGGGACCGACAGCAACAUGAAGGCCAAGCUGAAGACUUUGCCGGAUUAGCUGAGAGGAGGUGCAUGGCGUAGUCGUGU